rnacentral:rRNA from 1 species
GACAGAGGCCUCAAGCGUUAGGCGGAAUCACUGGGCCUAAAGCGUGUGUAGGCGGAUCGUUAAGUGUCUUGUGAAAUCCCACGGCUCACCCGUGGAACUGCUGGGCAUACUGGCGAUCUUGGGCCAACUAGGGGCAACUGGAACAAGCGGUGGAGCGGUGAAAUGCGUAGAUAUCGCUUGGAACGCCGGAAGGUGAAAACAGGUUGCUGGGGUUGUGCCGACGCUGAGACACGAAAGCCAGGGGAGCAAACGGG